GGGGGUACUCGAGUGGCGAACGGGUGAGUAACACGUGGGUGAUCUGCCCUGCACUUUGGGAUAAGCCUGGGAAACUGGGUCUAAUACCGGAUAUACCUCGCUGGUCGCAUGGCCUGGUGGGGGAAAGCUUUUGCGGUGUGGGAUGGGCCCGCGGCCUAUCAGCUUGUUGGUGAGGUUAUGGCUUACCAAGGCGACGACGGGUAGCCGGCCUGAGAGGGUGACCGGCCACACUGGGACUGAGAUACGGCCCAGACUCCUACGGGAGGCAGCAGUGGGGAAUAUUGCACAAUGGGCGCAAGCCUGAUGCAGCGACGCCGCGUGGGGGAUGACGGCCUUCGGGUUGUAAACCUCUUUCAGUGCCGACGAAGCGUAAGUGACGGUAGGCACAGAAGAAGGACCGGCCAACUACGUGCCAGCAGCCGCGGUAAUACGUAGGGUCCGAGCGUUGUCCGGAAUUACUGGGCGUAAAGAGCUCGUAGGUGGUUUGUCGCGUUGUCCGUGAAAACUCACAGCUUAACUGUGGGCGUGCGGGCGAUACGGGCAGACUUGAGUACUGCAGGGGAGACUGGAAUUCCUGGUGUAGCGGUGGAAUGCGCAGAUAUCAGGAGGAACACCGGUGGCGAAGGCGGGUCUCUGGGCAGUAACUGACGCUGAGGAGCGAAAGCGUGGGGAGCGAACAGGAUUAGAUACCCUGGUAGUCCACGCCGUAAACGGUGGGUACUAGGUGUGGGUUUCCUUCCUUGGGAUCCGUGCCGUAGCUAACGCAUUAAGUACCCC
rnacentral:rRNA from 1 species